rnacentral:tRNA from 1 species
GAGGAUAUAGCUCAGCGGCACAGCGCCUGCCUGACAAGCAUGAGGUCCUGAGUUCAAUUCUCAAUACUGCCU